rnacentral:lncRNA from 1 species
GGAGAACACUUGGGCUUCGAAGACCACUUCCCUCUGCUCCCCAGGGCCUUCCCCACUGGCUUCAGAGGCGUGACUGAGGGCAAGAAGGAAGAGCCAAGAUUCUGUCUACAUGUGUUACCAGAGAUGUCUCCAAGAGCACCAGCAACCCCAGCUAUCUGGAUCUGAAGUGGAUAUGCUCAGAGACAUCCUGGCCCACCCCAAAGAAGAUGCUGCUGCACUCAGAAGACGCCAGAGCUAGCCACCACCCACACUGCAAGUCUGGAAGCUCUGCAAGGACCCAGCAAGGCAGCCUGCUCAGCGAAGGCUUUGUCUCCUGUGGCAGGAAGAGCAACAUUAAGAACAAGAACCCCGGGCUGGACUACCCCUGAGAUUUAAUGACCAGAGCUGAGACCCCCAAGACCACAAUGACUAUGGAGGGCUGUCAUUACCCUGCCUGACCCUCUAAUGCCUCUCAGUUCAAGGAGGCCACUGAGUGAAACUGAAGGCUGGUUUUCCUUGGAAGCCAGCGGCCCAUCCACCUGCUCCACUUCCCUGCCUCUUGCAGCCUCCGCUCAAACACUGUCGUGGCUUGGCAGCACUACAAGGCAGAGUGAAAACAGAUACUUCUACCCACAUUCCUAUCUCCUCUCAUUUACGCAGAUUAAAUGCUUUCUUUCCUUGUUUUACACUGCUAGGAUUUUCAUCACCCUGUUUUUUCUUUCUCUACAUCAGCUACAAGAAAAAAAAAAGGAGUUACUGAGCAACUAAGAAGUCACAACUGUUUUCAGUUUUAUUAA